rnacentral:rRNA from 1 species
UAGGGAAUCUUCCACAAUGGACGCAAGUCUGAUGGAGCAACGCCGCGUGAGUGAAGAAGGUUUUCGGACCGUAAAGCUCUGUUGUUGGUGAAGAAGGAUAGAGGUAGUAACUGGCCUUUAUUUGACGGUAAUCAACCAGAAAGUCACGGCUAACUACGUGCCAGCAGCCGCGGUAAUACGUAGGUGGCAAGCGUUGUCCGGAUUUAUUGGGCGUAAAGCGAGCGCAGGCGGAAGAAUAAGUCUGAUGUGAAAGCCCUCGGCUUAACCGAGGAAUUGCAUCGGAAACUGUUUUCUUGAGUGCAGAAGAGGAGAGUAGAACUCCAUGUGUAGCGGUGGAAUGCGUAGAUAUAUGGAAGAAUACCAGUGGCGAAGGCGGCUCUCUGGUCUGCAACUGACGCUGAGGCUCGAAAGCAUGGGUAGCGAACAGGAUUAGAUACCCUGGUAGUCCAUGCCGUAAAACGAUGAGUGCUAAGUGUUGGGAGGCUUCCGCCUCUCAGUGCUGCAGCUAACGCAUUAAGCACUCCGC